AUCGGUGCAGGAUGGGCCCGCGGCCGUAUCAGCUUGUUGGUGGGGGUAAGUGGCCUACCAAGGCGACGACGGGUAGGCCGACCUGAGAGGGUGACCGGCCACACUGGGACUGAGACACGGCCCAGACUCCUACGGGAGGGCAGCAGUGGGGAAGUAUUGCACAAUGGGCGGAAGCCUGAUGCAGCGACGCCGCGUGAGGGAUGAAGGCCUUCGGGUUGUAAACCUCUUUCAGCAGGGACGAAGCGUGAGUGACGGUACCUGCAGAAGAAGCACCGGCUAACUACGUGCCAG
rnacentral:rRNA from 1 species